rnacentral:rRNA from 1 species
AACGAACGCUGGCGGCAGGCCUCAUACAUGCAAGUCGAGCGGACGUAUUCUUUCGGGAGUACGUUAGCGGCGAACGGGUGAGUAACAGGUGGAUAACCUGCCUUCUGGUGGGGGAUAACGGCUGGAAACGGCCGCUAAUACCGCAUGUGGUUGCCGGUCCGCGGACCGGUAAAGAAAGGCGCCGCAAGGCGUCGCCAGAAGAUGGGUCCGCCCCCCAUUAGCUAGUUGGCGGGAUAACAGCCCACCAAGGCAACGAUGGGUAGCCGGACUGAGAGGUUGGCCGGCCACACUGGAACUGAGACACGGUCCAGACACCUACGGGUGGCAGCAAUAGGGAAUAUUGCAAAAUGGGCGCAAGCCUGAUGCAGCAACGCCGCGUGAGCGAAGAAGGCCUUUGGGUCGUAAAGCUCUGUCGGGUAGGAAGAUAAUGACGGUACUACCCGAGGAAGCCCCGGCUAACUACGUG